GGCAAGGUGCAUUAACAAUGCAAUACUAGUUCUUCAGGACUUGUCUAAUAGGGCAUCUCAACCAUGAAUAGAUUACAGGAAUGUCAAUGUACUGAUUUCUUCAGCUCUUAACACAGACAAGUGGAACUUGGAAGAGACAACCUCAAGUCUGAGAAGCUAAGUCCUGCAGUUGCCUACAUGAUUGAUACCCAAGAAAAAUCCUGAAGACGAGCGCGAGGCUCAGGGGAGCUUCAGGUACAGUCUGGCACAAAGGAAAGAGUAAUCAAAUCUGAAUGGGUGACUUAAGGAACUUUUAGCACACCAAGGUAUCUUGAGAGAUCCAGAUGUUAAAGUCCUUGAAGGAAGAAUUUACCCAAAAGUGUGAAGAUGGCAGAGUACCCAAGGAGCAUGAAAACUUUGAACACUGAC